rnacentral:misc_RNA from 1 species
GAUGAAGAACGUAGCGAAAUGCGAUAAGUAAUGUGAAUUGCAGAAUUCCGUGAAUCACCGAAUCUUUGAACGCACAUUGCGCCCGCCAGUAUUCUGGCGGGCAUGCCUGUUCGAGCGUCAUUUCAACCAUCAAGCCCCCGGCUUGUGUUGGGGACCUGCGGCUGCCGCAGGCCCUGAAAUCCAGUGGCGGGCUCGCCGUAGCACCGAGCGUAGUAGCACACUUCUCGCUCCGGUAGCAGCGGCGGGCGCUUGCCGUAAAACCCCCCCUAAAAUCUCAAGGUUGACCUCGGAUCAGGUAGGAAUACCCGCUGAACUUAAGCAUAUCAAUAAGCGGAGGA